GGGGCUGUGUUUAUUAGAUACAAAACCAACCCACUUUGUGGAGUCCUGGUGAUUCAUAGUAACCGAACGGAUCGCAGUUGGCUUCGGCCCGCGAUGGAUCUUUCAAGUUUCUGACCUAUCAGCUUUCGACGGUAGGGUAUUGGCCUACCGUGGCAGUGACGGGUAACGGGGAAUUAGGGUUCGAUUCCGGAGAGGGAGCCUGAGAAACGGCUACCACAUCUAAGGAAGGCAGCAGGCGCGCAAAUUACCCAAUGAAAACAGUUUCGAGGUAGUGACGAGAAAUAACAAUACAGGGCAUUUUAUGCUCUGUAAUUGGAAUGAUGGGAAUGUAAAACCCUUCCAGAGUAACAAUUGGAGGGCAAGUCUGGUGCCAGCAGCCGCGGUAAUUCCAGCUCCAAUAGUGUAUAUUAGAGUUGUUGCAGUUAAAAAGCUCGUAGUUGGAUUUCUGUCGUGGUCAUCCGGCUCCGCCCGUA
rnacentral:rRNA from 1 species